rnacentral:rRNA from 1 species
CAGUAGCCACGGGAAUACGAAGGGUGCAAGCGUUACUCGGAAUUACUGGGCGUAAAGCGUGCGUAGGUGGUGGUUUAAGUCCGUUGUGAAAGCCCUGGGCUCAACCUGGGAAUUGCAGUGGAUACUGGGUCACUAGAGUGUGGUAGAGGAUAGUGGAAUUUCCGGUGUAGCAGUGAAAUGCGUAGAGAUCGGAAGGAACGUCUGUGGCGAAGGCGACUAUCUGGGCCAACACUGACACUGAGGCACGAAAGCGUGGAGAGCAAACAGGAUUAGAUACCCCCGUAGUCCCUGUCUCUUAUAA